CUGGGUGGGAGGCUGCACUGGACCCUUGGCUGGGAAGGGGGGUCUCAUUAUGCUGGGAUAGCGCAUGAGGAGAAUGGCAGGAGGGGGACGCCGCCAUUGGGAAUCCCAUUAACGCCGCGGGCUGGAGGCCCACCUUGCAGAGCAAGGCCUGGAGACCCUGGUGGCCUAGGUAGGUGCCUGCUUACGGGGGGGAAAAGGGGGUCACCCCCCACCCCCCCCCUUCACCCAUCCUCCCAUCAUGUCUUUCUUCUGAAGCUGCUUGAUUUAAAAAGAGAAAACAAAAUCAAUGAAGAUAGAAGAAAAAAAAAAGAGGAAUAGGUAUUGCAACACCUUUCUUUCCUUUCUACCACUCCCAGGCUUCGAUUGAAAAUGCACUGUUAAUUUCUGUUUGCAGAAGAGCCAUUGAUGGGGCCUUGUCUUGCACUGCAAAGCAUCUCCAAUCAAUUGAUUUGAAGGAGAGCACGCUUUUACGAUUGGGCUCGUUGUUCCUUCGCUUAAAAGUGGGAAAACAAAACAAGGCGUAACAAGACUCUCUUCGGUGACGGGUAUUCUUGGGUGGAUAAUACGGAUCACGUUGUUAUUGCUUAAGAAUACGCGUAGUCGAGGAGAGUCAUAUCUACGGCUCUACGACUCCAAUGGACUAGACUUGCCCCCGCCCCCUUCUUGCUUCCCACCGUGAGCAGCAUUCUACCUGAGGGCAGGCAGGGUGUCCCAUUCGGACUGACGCCUCGGCCCCUCCGCUACCAGGCCACCACAGAUAGCACAGUGCAGUGUGUUUGACUAUUGUGCUCCGUAUGGUCUUCACUUGGCUGCUGGCAGCGUGUAGGGCGCGGUACAGCUGCUGGAUUUACCCUCCUGCUACCCUGUUUCAUGCUGUUCUCCAGAUCAAGGAACUCAUUUCGUGUAAUGUUUGAAAAAAAUUUAAUUGUCACCCGUCCUCCAUUGUUUUAUAACCAAUGCAUUUUUAUUAUUAUUAUUUAUUUUUUUUACCCCCCCCUCUCCCUUUUGUAGCAUUAGGGGGGCCAUGUUGAGAUUUAUUUGCUCUAGAUGGGCGGAUAUUUGACUGAGUGCGCACGGCGCUGGGAGGCUGAUAGGAG
rnacentral:lncRNA from 1 species